rnacentral:lncRNA from 1 species
UUUUAGCAAAAACAGAAAAAACUCUCAUUCUCCCAACUCUCCCUUCCUCUCCAGACGCCGGCCUAGCUCCGGCCAAGGGUACCGGUGGGGUUCCGGCGCCGUCGCCAUCGUCGUGACCCCUUUUCAACCGUUUUAACCCCGGGUAACCCCGAUCUACCCUAAAAACUGGCUAAAAACCGUCAAGGAUCAAUAGAAGACCGAAAAACUCUUCGGUUUCCUUCCCUCCGGCCACCAACAAGGUAAGACCUCCUCUUUUCUUUUAUUAUUUAAUAUGUAAUCUUAUAUAUAUGUGCUAAAUAAAACAACAAAGAAAAUAAAUAAAUAAAUAAAUCAAGAGACAGAAUGAAGAAGAAGAAAGAAGAACAACAUUUCUUCAAAUUUUCGAUUUUUUAUUGAUUCAUCCACAUUUUUUUAAAAAAAAAUCCUCCCUUUGAUUACAUUUCAUUAGGCUCUUAUAGCCGUUUACAUAUUUGCUUUUUGCUAUUGUUUGUUUCUGUUAUCUUCGCCUUUUUCUUGCUUCUGUUUUUGUCUGUUUUUUUUGCAGGCAAGAUGAAGUCAACGAGAGGAGUCUUUGCCAUUUCGGUGCAAGGCAUAGCUGGCGGUGGCAGACCUCGGGCGUUGUACGUGUCGAAGGUGCACAUGGGCAGUAGCGGCGAGAGGAAAAGCAGGGAACUCUAGGGUUCCCUGAUGUUGUUUAAUUUUUGGGCCUAAUUGGGCCGGCUAGGGUUUUGAAAAUUGGACUUCGGGAUUGGGUUAAAAUUUUGUAAAUGGACUCUUUUUGUUUAUUUGGUUUGGAGGCCCGGGAAAAAUUGGGCUACUACAAUUAUCAUAAGUGUUAUCAUUCAAUAGUUUGUAGUUUAUCACCGUUCUGGGUUUUUGUCUUACUUGUUCUGAAUGAUUAUUAAAAAAAAAAUGAUGCACACCUAUGUUUUGAUUCGCUUCUUCAUAUUAGUUUCAUAUUUUCUAGUUCAGCUAUUUGUUGUUUAUACCAUUUUAAUUCUUGAUUUGAUGCAAU